rfam:Giardia lamblia ATCC 50803 SC_578 genomic scaffold, whole genome shotgun sequence.
UGUAGCGAACCCACGCGCAAGCGUUGCUACGAGGCGAUGGAGACAAAAGCAGUUACGUUCGCAACUCUCUGAGGGUUCCUGAUGCUUCCUUGGAUGUCCGAGCCUU